UACGAAGGGGGCUAGCGUUGCUCGGAAUUACUGGGCGUAAAGCGCACGUAGGCGGCUUUCUAAGUCGGGGGUGAAAUCCUGGAGCUCAACUCCAGAACUGCCUUCGAUACUGGAGAGCUCGAGUCCGGGAGAGGUGAGUGGAACUGCGAGUGUAGAGGUGAAAUUCGUAGAUAUCAGGAGGAACACCAAUGGCGAAGGCAGCUCGCUGGGACGGUACUGACGCUGAGACGCGAAAGCGUGGGGAGCAAACAGG
rnacentral:rRNA from 1 species